UUCUUUCGGGUCUGUAGUUGCGGAGGCGAAAACCUCCAAGUCCAUGGCAGAUGCGGUCGAAAGGAUCCACGUAAACCGGGUGGGCAACCGCUCGGCGAGCACGGCGCGUUCUAGGAGUAAGACGCAUCGUCCGUUUACACGCGACAUGGUGCCGCGGCGGGCGAGAGGGUGAUGGUGAACAGCUCAGCCCCAAUGCGCGGGUGUGGGGUCGAAGACUAGGUCAGCCGGAGGAA
rnacentral:ncRNA from 1 species